GAUGAACGCUGGCGGCGUGCCUAAUACAUGCAAGUCGAGCGAACAGACGAGGAGCUUGCUCCUCUGACGUUAGCGGCGGACGGGUGAGUAACACGUGGAUAACCUACCUAUAAGACUGGGAUAACUUCGGGAAACCGGAGCUAAUACCGGAUAAUAUAUUGAACCGCAUGGUUCAAUGGUGAAAGACGGUUUUGCUGGCACGUAUAGAUGGAUCCGCGCCGCAUUAGCUAGUUGGUAAGGUAACGGCUUACCAAGGCAACGAUGCGUAGCCGACCUGAGAGGGUGAUAGGCCACCCUGGAACUGAGACACGGUCCAGACUCCUACGGGAGGCAGCAGUAGGGAAUCUUCCGCAAUGGGCGAAAGCCUGACGGAGCAACGCCGCGUGAGUGAUGAAGGUCUUCGGAUCGUAAAACUCUGUUAUUAGGGAAGAACAAAUGUGUAAGUAACUAUGCACGUCUUGACGGUACCUAAUCAGAAAGCCACGGCUAACUACGUG
rnacentral:rRNA from 1 species